UACGUAGGGUGCGAGCGUUGUCCGGAAUUAUUGGGCGUAAAGAGCUUGUAGGCGGUUUGUCGCGUCUGCUGUGAAAAUCCGGGGCUCAACCCCGGACUUGCAGUGGGUACGGGCAGGCUAGAGUGUGGUAGGGGAGACUGGAAUUCCUGGUGUAGCGGUGGAAUGCGCAGAUAUCAGGAAGAACACCAACGGCGAAGGCAGCUCGCUGGGACGGUACUGACGCUGAGACGCGAAAAGCGUGGGGAGCGAACAGG
rnacentral:rRNA from 1 species